rnacentral:tRNA from 2 species
GUCAAGAUGGCCGAGUUGGUCUAAGGCGCUAGUUUUAGGUACUGGUCCGAAAGGGCAUGGGUCCAAAUCCCAUUCUUGAUA